rnacentral:tRNA from 1 species
GGGGGUGUAGCUCAGUUGGCUAGAGCGUUUGAAUGGCAUUCAAGAGGUCAAGGGUUCAAUUCCCUUCACCUCCAC